AAAGAACAAGGCAGAUUCUUCUUCCAUUUACGACUUGAUACAACAGGCUGUUUCACACGUUAUUGACCUUAUACCAGAGGCCUGAAAGUCUGACGGUUUGAUGCGUCUUAUCUACUAUCACGAUCAUGAUAUCAUCUACUAUCACGAUGUCUGGCUCUACCUCAUCAGUUCAUUCUUGGGAACCAUUGCUUAAAUGUAUUCAUAGAUGUUAUGGGUCUCACUCCAAACAAUGGUUAUUACAUCGUGUAGGUCCUUUCCCCACAAAUUCAGUGUAAAGCACUGGACCUAGGCACCUACGGGAGCUAAACAGGAAGAAUGUAACGAGGCACAGUAUGCAUACGGAAAAGACGCUUCACACUGAAACAAAUGUCCUCAGGAGAGGGCAAGGUGACUCAGGGCGAGGCAGCAGGUCCAUGCGAGGAGGAGGAGGAGGAGGAGGAAGAGAACUGGAUGUGGGUGCUGAGGCU